UAUACAUGUUUGGUUCUUCAGCUGCAACUCCUAGCUUAGCUGAAAAAAGUCCUAGGCCUAGGGUCCUCUUUAUAAUACGUUUACCAUCACAGCAAGUUAUGAAGGAAUAUUUGCUCCUGAAUUUGCCAUGGCAUACAGAAAUGUGUUUAAAUAUUGGGGCAGUCCUCCUGCCCUUCUGGGAAUCUGAGCCACAAAGCUCCAGCGUGGGACAUUGGGCAGGAGCCUUUAUGGACAGCUAAGGGAAAAAGGUCAAGCUGAAAGAGUGGGGGUCACAAGCAGGGAUAUAAAGAGAGGUGAAUGGUGUGACACAAGAAGUUUGUUAACAGCAAAACAAGACCCAUAAUGUCUGAAGGAGGAAAAAAAUGCUGUUAGCUGCAUCUGCCUAUCUAUCUAUAUAUUCCUAGUGAUAUUUUGAGGACAGAGGUGCCUGGCGUGCUCUGGUCCAUGGGGUCACGAAGAGUCAGACACGACUAAACGACUAAACAACAACAACAACAAAGUGAUAUUUUGAAUUAUAAAAGCAGAGAUGUGAGUAUGUAUAGCAUUUUUUAUAAAUGUGUGAGAGGAAGAUCACAAAACUAAGAAACCACAUCC